GAUGAACGCUGGCGGCGUGCCUAAUACAUGCAAGUCGAGCGAACAGACGAGGAGCUUGCUCCUCUGACGUUAGCGGCGGACGGGUGGGUAACACGUGGAUAACCUACCUAUAAGACUGGGAUAACUUCGGGAAACCGGAGCUAAUACCGGAUAAUAUAUUGAACCGCAUGGUUCAAUAGUGAAAGACGGUUUUGCUGUCACUUAUAGAUGGAUCCGCGCCGCAUUAGCUAGUUGGUAAGGUAACGGCUUACCAAGGCAACGAUGCGUAGCCGACCUGAGAGGGUGAUCGGCCACACUGGAACUGAGACACGGUCCAGACUCUUACGGGAGGCAGCAGUAGGGAAUCUUCCGCAAUGGGCGAAAGCCUGACGGAGCAACGCCGCGUGAGUGAUGAAGGUCUUCGGAUCGUAAAACUCUGUUAUUAGGGAAGAACAAAUGUGUAAGUAACUAUGCACGUCUUGACGGUACCUAAUCAGAAAGCCACGGCUAACUACGUG
rnacentral:rRNA from 1 species